CCUGCUACAUCCUGCUGUGAUGCCAGCACAGCCCAAAGCAAUGAGACCAAGCAAGCAUCGACAGGAACGUUCAAGACAAUGAGUCAAAAUAAACCUCUCCUCCUUGGCAGACUUGAACCUCGAACCUCCAGCCUUCUAGGGAAGACUUGAACCAACAACUCUAUGAAAGUCCUAAUGCAAGAGGCAUUUCAACAAGUAAAGGAGGCAGCUUCAGCAAGCACAGCCAUGCGUGUGAAGUAGGCAGUCCAAACCCUCUGCAGAAACCAGGAUGCUGGCUCAUAACUGUUCAACAUGUGCUUGGGAAAGCCCAAUACUCAUUCACCAGAUCUGGACCCAGAAGCUGAAAUGAGAUUGGAGACAUGAAGAAAUUGAAUGAUUAAUGGAGCUGUACAGAAAUAUUACUUGGCCCAACCUGACCGUGGUGGGAAGAAUUUUACCUUGAAACAAGUGCACAAGUGUUCAAACAACUCAUUUGACUCGCGGGCUCUUAGCUCUGUCCUUGCUCUUCUCCUUGAUCUCCGUUGCCAUGGCAGGGCUGCAGCACGUCUGCUAUCCCCUCCCAAGACCUCAUCCUGACACCUCAGGAUUCUCUGUAAGUACAACCUGGUUAUGCACAUGCCUGUACACGUGGGUCUUGUCCUUCCACUUCGACCUCGAAUCAUCCAGCUUCCCCAUUAGCUCACUUUGAAACACAUGCUUGUGAAGUCUGUGGUGAGCUGCUCUUCCUCUACUCUGGGCUGCAAAGAUGAAAUACUCUCCGUGAAGUUGGAGACCAAGACUUGCGUGUGCCACCAGCUCACUUUUAGUUUGUUUUGUUUUUAUACCACUUCCUUUCCAUUUCUCAAAGUCAGAGAGCUUCCUGAAAAGAAAAGCCGUAGUUCAUUCAUCUUUGUAUUCCUAACACUGAGCGCUGUGGCAGGCCAGAGGAGAAACCCAAGAAAUACUUGUGAAUGGAAUUGGAAACCUGCUUUCAAGCCUGACCUCUCCCUCCGUCUUUAACAUUAUCACCUCUAGCUUCAGGGAGGAAAUCAGGGCUAGGGCGAGAUGCACAUAUACAUCGCUGCUGUCCCUUUCUCAUCCUGCAGAAACAGGUGUUUCCCAAAGCUCCCUCCUUCGGCCUCUGUUCAUUCCUCCUCACACCAGCUCUCCAUCCGUCUUGUCUCCAUUCUUCAUAAAAACCAGUGACAAGGCUGACACCUGGAAUGUGGCUUUCUGCUUCUUACCCGGCCACCUCUCUUGGUGCCCACUGCUCGGGCCAGGCUGUGCUUCCGCAGACCCUCAGCACUGCUGCUUGGCCUCCGCCUGCCUUUGCCCUUCUAGCUCAAACCUUUCAGCCCUGUUCUUCCUCACACCAUCAUGAGGCCAAACUUUCAUGGAAGAUUUAGGUUCAAAGCAACUAUCUCUCCCUAAAGUGUCACUACAUUAUACCUUCUGGAUUCUAAUAUUUCAAGAAUAUAAGGACAAGGAAAUAAAAACAAGAGGAAAAGAUUCUAGUCCCGUCUUUCUUCUAUGUCUUUUAUAUCCUUGUCUCAAUUCCUGCUG